UCUGCGCAUGUCUAAUGUUUUACGACACACGUCAUUCGUCAGGUUUGACUUGUACUUGCGAGUCAUUUUUGUGUCGUUUAUCUCCGUCUGUAAGUGGACUUGUUACUGGAAAAGAUGGAAACUUUUGAAUUUUAUAACGUCUUGGAAGAUGUGUCGCCUGAAAAAUUUAAGUCCAGUCGAAUGAAGAGGGAGCGAAAUGAAAUGCGACGUGUGUCUGUGAACUUUAUAAUGGACAUGUACAGCUCUUUGAUGCCCAGUGGUAACCAGCCUACCAUGUGGCUCAACAGAUGCCAGUGUACCCGAAUACUGAGACACAAUUGGAUGUUCUUUUCUUCUGCUUUUAAGAUUCCCAGUUUGGGAUGAUGUGCAGUUCAUGUUAGAUUUGCUAUUUCUACAGUUACAGUGAAGUAGAAGAGUCCGGUCUUGUUAUGGGGCAGCAGUUAAAGAAGAAGGAUGGAGAGAUGUGUGCCAUGUUGAAGUAUCGGCUGGUCCUCCUGCCCGCUCUUCUAGAAUCCUCCAUCUAAACCUCUGCUCUGAUCUGCUGUGCCUUUGCCAAGUGAUCACGAGGUAUUGGU